rnacentral:rRNA from 1 species
UACAGAGGGUGCGAGCGUUAAUCGGAAUUACUGGGCGUAAAGCGCGCGUAGGCGGCUUUUCAAGUCGAUUGUGAAAUCCCCGGGCUUAACCUGGGAACUGCAGUCGAGACUGUCUAGCUAGAGUAUGGGAGAGGGAAGUGGAAUUUCAGGUGUAGCGGUGAAAUGCGUAGAGAUGCGGAGGAACACCGAUGGCGAAGGCAGCCCCCUGGGCUAGCACUGACGCUCAGGCACGAAAGCGUGGGGAGCAAACAGG